GGGGUUAUCGUCCAACGGCAGGACAUCGGUCUCCAAAACCGAGAAUUAAGGUUCGAGUCCUUAUAACCCCG
rnacentral:tRNA from 1 species